rnacentral:rRNA from 1 species
AAUCAACGCUGGCGGCGUGCCUAACACAUGCAAGUCGAACGCGAAAGCCCCGCAAGGGGUAAGUAGAGUGGCAAACGGGUGAGUAACACGUGGGUGACCUGCCUUCGAGUGGGGGAUAACGUCCCGAAAGGGACGCUAAUACCGCAUGACAUCCUGCUUUUGAAAAAGCGGAGAUCAAAGCUGGGGAUCGCAAGACCUAGCGCUUGAAGAGGGGCCCGCGCCUGAUUAGCUAGUUGGUGAGGUAACGGCUCACCAAGGCGACGAUCAGUAUCCGGCCUGAGAGGGCGGACGGACACACUGGGACUGAGACACGGCCCAGACUCCUACGGGAGGCAGCAGUGGGGAAUUGUUCGCAAUAGGCGCAAGCCUGACGACGCAACGCCGCGUGGAGGACGAAGAUCUUCGGGUCGUAAACUCCGGUCGAGCGGGACGAACGCUUCGCGGAUGAAUAAUCCGCGGAAUUGACGGUACCGCUAAAGGAAGCCCCGGCUAACUCCGUG